rnacentral:rRNA from 1 species
GACGGGAGUGCGACUGACGCUGAAGCUCGAAAGUGCGGGUAUCGAACAGGAUUAGAUACCCUGGUAGUCCGCACGGUAAACGAUGGAUGCCCGCUAUUCGCUCGAAUGAGUGAGUGGCCAAGCGAAAGCAUUAAGCAUCCCACCUGGGGAGUACGCCGGCAACGGUGAAACUCAAAGGAAUUGACGGGGGCCCGCACAAGCGGAGGAACAUGUGGUUUAAUUCGAUGAUACGCGAGGAACCUUACCCGGGCUUGAAUUGCAGGAGAACGAAACAGAGAUGUUGAGGUCCUUCGGGACUCCUGUGAAGGUGCUGCAUGGUUGUCGUCAGCUCGUGCCGUGAGGUGUCGGCUUAAGUGCCAUAACGAGCGCAACCCCUGUUCUUAGUUGCCAUCAGGUAAUGCUGGGCACUCUGGGAAUACUGCCACCGCAAGGUGUGAGGAAGGUGGGGAUGACGUCAAAUCAGCACGACCCUUACGUCCGGGGCUACACACGUGUUACAAUGGCCGGUACAGAGAGUUGGUCGUGCGCAAGUACGGUCUAAUCCAUAAAACCGGUCUCAGUUCGGACUGGGGUCUGCAACCCGACCCCACGAAGCUGGAU